AUGGACAGAGUUCACAUCACACUGAACCACCUCGUGAUGAUGAACUACGCUAACACCAAGGAAUGACUGUGUUUUUCAAACUAAAAAUAUGUUUUACGAGUAUACAAAAUUUUAACAGCCUUGGCGGGCUCGAGUGUACGCCUCUGAUCAAGGUGUCAUCGAGUAUAUUUGAUGGCAUGAGCCAACUGUUUAUGAAAGUCAUAAGCCCUAAUGAGAAAUUAAAUGAAAUACAACCGUUUGCAUGGGUUGGGAUGAAUUUUCAAAUUGUGAAAUACUUAAAAUGAUGGGAUAUUUUAAUUGUCUCCUUUUACUCGGCUUGAGCUGAUUUAAAUGGUGUUUGUUUACUCACUGGAAUUUUAGAAUCUCACCACCCUCUUUUUCACCCAUUUCAGGUUUAAAGUAGGCUGUAGAUUGCUGGUUCUAUCGGGGAUUUCCAUUGGAUUAACGUCCUCCACACUGUAGGUUCACAGUUUCUUUAAUUCUAGUUAUUGUGGGCUCACUCGAUGUUGUAAAUUUAAAUUAAUUUAAAUACUCUAGUUUAUUGCGUUAUAGUAUGAAUGAAUUUAUUUUGCUUUCAAGUUACAAAAAGAUUUGCGUAUAACUCUAAAAUUACUAUUUAUAAGAAAAUAAAAUAUUUUAUUGAAUAUUUUGUUUUAUCUUCUUAUUAUAUUCAAAUAAUUAUAAUUUCAUUUUAAAUAAAGGUUUUAGAUGCCUAAACUUAUUUUUAAUUAUAAAUUAUGCGAUUGGUACUUGUUUGCUACAUUUUUAACUGGUUUCAAAGUUUUCAGUGGAAAAUGACCAAAAUACCCCUAUGAGGCAAAAAUUUUUAUUUUAUCAGUUUUAAGUUGGAAAUAGCUCAAAAUCCUUUAGAGCAUAAAAUUUGGCAACGGUUACUCACCGGGGGAAAUGAGAAACUGAUAUUAAGCCUUGCGAGGUUCCGGUUGGCAUUUCGGGAAAUGAGUGCCCAUCAGAGCACCGCGGGGGUUGUCACGGGUUCGAGGGGAGUUCUGGGUUGUGACAAAUGGAGUGAUAAAGAAGACUUUCAACAACCAAAACUUCCUAUCACCAUGGGCAUUCUCUAGAGAUUAGAGGAAUCUACACAAGUUGCUGGUAGUUCUUCCCAAGUCGUUUUCCCACCUCCACAGGCAGUGCCCACACAUAGUGUUGCUCAAUGGAUGGAGUGCCUCGAUCGUUGUUUAGAUCGUUAGGAAAGGCAGAAUCGAGCAAUUGAACAGAUGAUGUGAGCCUAUGCUACACACGUUGGGAUGGAUAUGUCUACGUUUCCUUCGUUACCUACGGAAUAUGACUCUGAAGAUGAUUUUAGUGGUGCUGAUGCGGCGGACUUGUAGAGUACUGAUUCUGAGUGAGGGGAGUAUUCUUGUCCCUUGUCUUUUAUUUUUGUUAUCACAUUGAGGGCAAUGUCCAUUUCCAGUUUAGGGGAGUAGUUUAGACUUUUGUUAGUUUAUUUUUUGUUGCUUGAUUUUAUUUGCAUGUUUUGUUGUGUUUUUGAAAAAGAAAAUAAAAAUAAUAAUAAAAAUAAUAAUAUUUUGAGAUAGUUGUACCUUAUUCAUGAUUGUCCCAAUCCUAGGAUGAUAUUUUAAUUAUUUUUUGAUUCUUAGCUUUUGGGAAGCAUAUAGUUAUGAUUUAUUUUCAUAUGAUAUUUUUGUGUUAACUUUAUUUUAGAAUAUGACUUUCAAUAAUUUGAGCACUACACUCUUUUACUUAGAAUCUUUUGUGUGAUUUAGAGAAAGUUUAUGUUGAAUAGAAAGUAUAGUGAAGUCAAGAAUUCUAGAAUUUGUUUGAUUCUCUCUCGAGGUGAAAUCUUAGAUAACACUUAGGAUAAGAAGUGAUUUAGGCCAUCUUUGGAUCGUUUGAGCCUUUUUGAGCCUACCUUGUUAUAUUUAACCUUAGCCACCCUUUCUGAGCCUAAUUUACCUUUUCUUUGUAAUUACACAGUUAUAUGAGCCUUGGCCUGUUUAUUUAAUUUCAGCAAUUUGAACCUUUCACCCUUUAAGUAUUUUAAUCUUUCUUAGGAAUGAUUUGAGCUUAAGAAUAAAGUGAGGGAGAAGAUGCAAAAAAAAAUGAUGGUUGUUAGCAAAAUUACCCCUAGUUUAUAAUUGUCAAAAAUAAGUUUGGGGGUUGAAGAAAAAAAAGGAGAAAAGAAAAGAACAAAUUCUGUGGUACAAAGGAAAGUUUACUUCAAGUUUGGGGGUGGUUUAAAAAAAAAAUUUGAGCUCUUUAUAUGAUCUAGAUUGAUUAAGUGCUUAGGGUGAAGUUGAGCUUAAAUAUAUGCUUUAUCAUACCUUGACCCUAGCCUUACAUUACAAGCUUGAUAAAGAUCUAUUAAUCCUUAAAUAAGUGUUCAUCUACAUUAGUGGAGAGAGAGAUGAAAAGCAAACUUAUGGAAUCUUAGUACUAAUCUAUGCUUAGAUUUGGCAUAAAUUGAUUUGAAUUGCAUGAUAUUCUUUGUAAGAGAGCAUUCACACACACACGGAAGUCCAUUCGAAAAAUAAGUUUUCACUUGAAUUGAUGCAUGAAUUUAAGGAUUAGCUGUAUGAAUUUAAGGAUUAGCUGUAUGUUACCUUAAGUUAGAAUUGGAGUUAAUUUCUGAGGAAAAAUUGGGAAAUCAUGAUUUGGUAUUUCUAUCUCUUGUUCAAGCAUUUUUUUAUGUUCAGUUUUCUUUUGUGAUUUUCUUUUGCUUGAGGACUAGCAAAAUCUUAAGUUUGGGGGUGUGAUAAUUCUAUUAUAUAGAGUUAUUUUACUUUAAUUUUAUGUUUUUCUUGUUAAUUUGGUUAUUAUUUAUUGGUUUUUAUUUCUUUUGUAGGAUUAAAGGUGAUUGGGCUUAAUUUUUGGAAAGUAAGGUGUAGACAGACCCAAAAAUCUGUUUGCAUAUACUUUGGUAUUUUGGCCAUAUCUCGAGCUACAGAACUCCAAAUGAUGUGAUUCUUGGACCAGUUGAAAGUUAAGAGACAGAGCUACAACUUUUAUGAGAUUAAUUUGCGCAUUUCUGCUUUGAAGAUAGAAAAAAUAGUAUUGGAUAAUGGCUAGACGUACUGUACCAAGAAUGAAAAUUUGUAAAGACUGAUAAUUAAUUUUUGGGCCUUCAUUACACUUUUAAGCCCAAUUAAAUCCUAGGUCAGCUGAAGGAACUUUAGGUUAAGUCUAUUAGUAUAAAUAGGAUAUGUUUAAUAACAUUAGGGGCAGAACUUUUGAGAGAUUCAAGAAAGUAGAAGUUGAGGCUAAAACUUGGAGAUCAAGUCAGCAAUAAUUGUUUUGUGUUCUUCCUUAGCUUUUAAUUUUCUUGUUACUUUCAAUGGUUAAAUUUAUUAUAAUGUUAUUUGUUUUUAUAAUUAUGCGUGGCUAAAUUUUCUUUUUCUAGGAUUGCAAUUGAACUCACAUGUAGGC
rnacentral:lncRNA from 1 species